GCCAUGCCGCGUGUGUGAUGAAGGUCUUCGGAUUGUAAAGCACUUUAAGUUGGGAGGAAGGGCAUUAACCUAAUACGUUGUUGUCUUGACGUUACCAAUAGAAUACGCCCCGGCCAAUUCUGUGCCAGCAGCCACGGUAAUACAGAGGGUGCAAGCGUUAAUCGGAAUUACUGGGCGUAAAGCGCGCGUAGGUGGUUUGUUAAGUUGGAUGUGAAAUCCCCGGGCUCAACCUGGGAACUGCAUUCAGAACUGACAGACUGGAGUAUGGGAAAGGGUGGUGGAAUUUGCUGUGUAGAGGUGAAAUGCGAAUAUCUGGGAAGGAACACCCGUGGGCAAGGCAACCACCUGGACUGAAACCGAAACUGAGAAGCGAAAGCGUGCGGAGCGGACUAGAUUCCAUACCCUGGUAGUCCACGCCGUAGGCGAUCUCCACUAGCCGUUGGGAGCCUUGAGCUCUUAGUGGCGCAUCUAAAGCCCAACGUUGACCGCCUGGGGAGUACGGGCGCAAGGUAAGAACUCACAUGAAUUGACAGGAGCCCGCACAAGCGGUGGAUCAUGUGGUUAAAUUCGAAGCAACGCACAAAAGCUUAC
rnacentral:rRNA from 1 species